rnacentral:lncRNA from 1 species
GAUCCUGAGGACCAACCAUUCCUGUUGAGCAGAGGACAGACAAGAGGAUGGAUACAGAUGAAGAGGGAGGCCAGUUGGAAUGCCAGAACUCCAAGGAGCUGGGCCUGGAAGGUCUAAGUCCAAGGGAGCAGGAGAGCCUGAAGUUCCUUUUGGACACCAUUGCUGCUCUAGAUGGGGAUGGAGACAGGGAUAGGGACAGGGACCUGGAGGCUCUAGACAGUGGUCAAGCCUCAGUACCAGAUGGUCCUCUGGAGCACAAACCCCUGAGCACGAUGCCUCAACCCCUGUCCGCCCCAACCAGACUCCGUAAAUUUGACACCAUUGUCCGGUCUGGCAUCAGUGUCAGAGAGCUACGGGACCAUUUCCGGGGACUGAACCAGGUACCAGGGACCAAAGAGACCACGAGAGGAAUGCUGCCUCCUCGUGCCCAGAAGCCUGGACUUCUUCCAGGCCAUGUCGGGCUUGCAGGAACCCCCAGCCAGGUUGCUAGGGUUCCCAAACUGUGAACUGGUCAUCAAAGGGAACCUGGGACCCAAUUAGCUCAGGGUUCAUAAGAGACUAUAGAAUUCCAGAAUCUCAGAGCUGGAAGAGGACCUCAAAGAGCAUCUAAUCUAAGCCAUGGUGUUGUGAACAGUAGUUGCCCAAUGGUUAGAGCACAGGACUUGGACUCUGUGGGCCUCAAAAAUCCAAUCUGCAAAAAAAAGAAACCGAGUCAAAGCUCCAAGCACAAUCAGUUAAUUAGGGAGAUCAAUGGUUGGUAAGCAAUUGGAUCCAGGACCUUCCUCAAAGUCAAGGAUCCUCCUGUUCAGCGACCAGCCCCUUUUUUUUAACCUUGGGAGGUCGAAGUGGUAUACUACAAUUCAUGAUUGGUCAUCUUUAAAACAAAAAAAAAUUUAUUUUUCCCCAAUUACACGUAAAAAUGAUUUUUAAUAUUUGUCUUUUAAAAUUUUGAGUUCCAAAUUCUUUCCCUUCCCUCUCAUUGAGAAGGCAAUCAAUUUGAUAUAAAUUAUAUAUGUGCAGUCAUGCAAAACAUGUUUCUAUAUUGGUCAUAUUGUGAAAGAAAACAUACACAAAAAACUCAAGAAAAAUAAAGAAUGCUUUGAUCUGCA